UCGAAACCAUGAACUGAUGGACUGCGAAAAUGUUUCUGUCGCAUUGGAGCUUGACGAGUCAGGCUUGCUCUCUCAUCUUCUCCAAUGCAUCCCACCCAUCCCUCUCAGAUGCGGGGUAUGCUAGGUGGGCCAAACAAACAACCCACGGCGCGUGAUGCGCCAAGGAUCACAAAUGCGGAGCGACGAUCCCGUCAUGCGCCCGUCCGUUGUUGUCGUGGCUGGCAUGUGCGUCUGUCUCCUUAGAUUGAGUAUGAAAUAAC
rnacentral:misc_RNA from 1 species